AAUUUUUAGCAUAAUGACGGCCUUGGAU
rnacentral:piRNA from 1 species